GCGGGCGUAACUCAGUGGUAGAGUGCAACCUUCCCAAGGUUGAAGUCGUGGGUUCAAAUCCCAUCGCCCGCU
rnacentral:tRNA from 1 species